ACUCAAAUGAAUUGACGGGGGCCCGCACAAGCGGUGGAGCAUGUGGUUUAAUUCGACGCAACGCGAAGAACCUUACCUGGGCUUGAACAGUUAUUGACAGUGGUAGAGAUAUCAUUUUCCGCAAGGACAGUAGCAGAGGCGCUGCAUGGCUGUCGUCAGCUCGUGUCGUGAGAUGUUGGGUUAAGUCCCGCAACGAGCGCAACCCUUGCCCUUAGUUGCCAGCGAGUAAAGUCGGGAACUCUAAGGGGACUGCCCGGGUUAACCGGGAGGAAGGUGGGGAUGAUGUCAAGUCCUCAUGGCCCUUAUGUCCAGGGCUACACACGUGCUACAAUGGGUGGUACAGACCGGAGCAAAGCCGCGAGGUGGAGCAAAUCGGAGAAAGCCGCCCUCAGUUCGGAUUGCAGUCUGCAACUCGACUGCAUGAAGUUGGAAUCGCUAGUAAUCGUGUAUCAGAACGAUACGGUGAAUACGUUCCCGGGCCUUGCACACACCGCCCGU
rnacentral:rRNA from 1 species